rnacentral:tRNA from 2 species
GGGGCUAUAGCUCAGUUGGUCAGAGCACUUCGCUCACAUCGAAGAGGUCUCCGGUUCGAACCCAGAUAGUCCCACCA